CAGAAGGUAAGAUAAGUGAGGAGUUUCUACAAUUUUCAUGAAUAUGUUUAAGUUUCACGUGAAGAGUUGAGUGUGAAGGCCAAAGAACGUGACAAAGACAAUGCUUGCUGAUUCUAGCACAUCUAUUGGGCAACAAAGGAAUCCCCAGAAUUUCCCUGUGUCAUCUGCACGGCCUGCCUGAGAAAGAAUUCAGAGAGGUCUGUGAGGUCCUGCUCCCUUCAUUGUUGAUUCAGCGGCACACCCCCCACCCAGGAGCCAUAAAUGGAGGCAGCCCUUUGUGCGAGGGGAGUGGAGCAGAUUUACUGUGGAUGGUCUCCCUACAAAGGACCACGGCGCUGUCACAACAGGACCAGGAUCAGCUGCACCCACUUUCACACAGUGUGAUUUAACGCCAUGCUUCACACAGUCACUGAUGCAGACACAGCCUCUGCAGUCGCUCAGCAUCCACGUAGCUCAACGGCAAAGCAUCGAGAGGCAUCUUCUAUGUUUUACUCACUUACUUCUGCUUACUUUUCAGGCUGCUGAAUUACGCCACUGUCAGUCUCAUCUUUCCAGUCUUGUAGGCCCAGAAAGCCAAUAUUUAUCCUUUUAUCUCUUAAUUUCCCUCACUAGCGAUGCUUUUGUUCUCAUAUUUUAGUCCAUGCUGUCACAGAUUUUUGUGUACAGUCAAAUAAGCAAUAAUCUAACCUAAGAUUUAGAAAAAUCAGCAUGAUAUGUAAUUAAUUUCACAGGCCUCUGUGUGCGGUAUAAAUGUCAUUAUCAGUGGGGUUGAACAUAGACUUCUGUCAAAGCAUCAAGAGCCAUCUGUUAUAACUUUACGCUGUUUCAUGUCUUGGCACACCAGCCAAAAAAAUGCCUACACCAACUGUGCAUUUUGAGCAUGUUUUCUUGCCUCUCCAAUAACACUGGGUUUGGUUCCCUCCACCAGCCUCUGUUAUGUUGACUUAAUUACUGUGAAACUCAAGGAGCUGUCCUUCUGUCUCACCAGGGUUUGAGUUUCAGAGCUUCCACAACUUGAUCAUUUCAGCAUGAGGGUGGCAAAUCAGUGAAAUCCAGCCUUUAACGCUUCUGCCACUGACAUGCAUCUCUACCAAGGAUGGCGUGAGUUGUCCAGAUUGCAACAAAGAUGUGAAAUCCUCACAGGACUCCUAAAUCGGCAUGAAAUGUAAUCAAUCUGACUUGCCUCUGUGUGCUGUAGAAAUGUCAUUAUCAAUAAGACUGGGCCUAAACUGAAGUAUUACAGAAGUCCUCCACUCAAAGUAACAACAUCCAUCUGUUUGCAUUGUAGUCAUCACUAUGGUUUUAAGCCUUGGCACACCACAAAGUUGCAUAUGCCAACUGUGCAUUUGGGGCACGCUUCCUUGUCUCUCUGAUUACUUCUGGGUUUGGUUUCCUCCACCAGUCUCUCCACCAGCCUUCAUUACUGUGAAACUCCAGACUGUAGCUAUUGACCGUAUGCUUGCAAGUACGACAUUGUUUAAACUUCCACUUAUAACUUUUGUACCAAUACAGUAUUUGUCUUAGCAAGAAAAAGUCAAUUUACAACACGCUGUUUAUGUGAAAAGCUUCAUUCAUUGUUGAUUUAUUGAAGCACACUCAGGGAAGAGGUUUCUCACAAACUCAUUAUAAUAUAUUAAAAUGUUUUAAUCAAAACUCUUCCCCUUUUGUUCAUUUGAUAAAGAGGUAGAGGGCUCUGGUUCUUUACCCACAAAUGAAACUCAAUAUCUUCGCCAGUGAUUUGACCAGGAGGCCACACAGACCUUUCUCGAGUCAGCGUUCAUUUUGCUGGUCCAAAAGUGCAGCUAAUCUGCGAAGAAAGGAAUUGUCACCUGCAGGGGUCCACCUGUUCGCCCUGCACCAUCUCUCCGGUUUCUCUGUUCCCACUGACCCGAGACAAUACAAGGCCAGGCAGCUUCACCUCCUCUCACAGCUCGUGUUACUCAACCACCCGGGGCAGAAGUGGACAUGAAAGUGCUGCUUGUGUGGCUGGGUGAAACCAGGUUCGGAUGAUAACAGAACUGCUGGCUCACAUCACUGAUGCUGUGCUGGUGGGUGGUAACCUCAAAAUACUUCAGCACCGGCUUCCAGGGACCAUGAAAAAAAGAUCCAUAAAGAGCGUUUCUGUAGCUGUUGGUGAAAGAAUUUCUUAAACCUGGAUGAUCAUAAUAUUUCCUAAAGUCACCUAAAUGACAAAGAUGAGCUUCUGACAUGAACUCAGUGUGUGGAUGUCCUCAGGUGACUGAAGAUCUCUCACAUGAUUAAAGAACACAGAACCACCCGAUCUUUUUUAUAUGCUGAUUACUUAUUUAUGCCAUAGCAGGUGUUACUGAUGAGAGCGUACAUUAAUAUUUAAUUCCACUGAUCUUGGAUGGAUGAUCAACCCCCAAACAACAAUAUACUGUUCAUGCUCACAUCAUUUUAAAGUUAUACAGCAAAUGAGGAUUUUUCUAACUGCAAUUCUGAUAGUGACUGAAAUUCCAACCCUUGCAAGGAGACGGCCUGCAGCAGCUCGUCUCCAUGUCUGGCUGAAUUUGGGAGGUCUAUUUGUCCAGCUGACUGUAACACUUGCUGUUUACCUGCUUCCACUCAACUAAAAUAGCAAAGCAACCUUUGCUCCUUCAUUUGUCUUUUUGUGUAUUACCUGUAA